rfam:Chloroflexi bacterium RBG_13_52_14 RBG_13_scaffold_12649, whole genome shotgun sequence.
CAGCAUAAUUGAAUAACGCUGAAGACAGCGGGUGCCUUUUACGGCUUAAUCCUAUGCCUGCCGAAGCGAAUUUAAGCGACUUCAAUCACGUUUGUGGUCCUUAUGCGCAGGCAUAAGGACCUUCUUUUUUGCAGG